UCAGGAUGAACGCUGGCGGCGGCCUAUCAUGCAAGUCGAGCGAACAGACGAGGAGCUUGCCUCCUCUGACGUUAGCGGCGGACGGGUGAGUAACACGUGGAUAACCUACCUAUAAGACUGGGAUAACUUCGGGAAACCGGAGCUAAUACCGGAUAAUAUAUUGAACCGCAUGGUUCAAUAGUGAAAGACGGUUUUGCUGUCACUUAUAGAUGGAUCCGCGCCGCAUUAGCUAGUUGGUAAGGUAACGGCUUACCAAGGCAACGAUGCGUAGCCGACCUGAGAGGGUGAUCGGCCACACUGGAACUGAGACACGGUCCAGACUCCUACGGGAGGCAGCAGUAGGGAAUCUUCCGCAAUGGGCGAAAGCCUGACGGAGCAACGCCGCGUGAGUGAUGAAGGUCUUCGGAUCGUAAAACUCUGUUAUUAGGGAAGAACAAAUGUGUAAGUAACUAUGCACGUCUUGACGGUACCUAAUCAGAAAGCCACGGCUAACUA
rnacentral:rRNA from 1 species